rnacentral:lncRNA from 1 species
CUUCACAAAGCUGUCGGCGUCCGGGAAGCCUGGCAGCACCAUCUCUCCGUCGGAUUUGGUUGCGCUGGUCGCCGACAGGACCCUGGGCUCCCGGGUACUGGGUGGCGCCAUUUUUUCAGCCUGCACGGCUCGUCUCGCGAGAGCUUGUCGGCCGAGGAGACGGGACGCGUGCGCACCACGCAUGCGCCAGGUAAGCUCCUGAAGAAAGCGUCUAGCUCCAACUGUGCUUCCUCCCUCCAGUACCCUCUGAACUCCUCCAAGCAGACGUUGUUUCCUGCAGACAUCGCUGGAACCAUUCUGGUUAACACAGAGUGGGAACUCAGUACACAUUUGUGAAGUGAACUCCUGGAAGAGCUCUUGUGAGGGAGGCACCGAAUUAUCAGGCAGCUCAAGAGAUAGAUUCACUCUCCUGAAAUUAGAGAUGGGAUGCCCUUAAUACAAUUCAUUCCACCCAUUAAGUCUUCAAUAAAUGUUCAGCAUAUCCAGUUAA